AUGGGGCGGGGUGAGGCCCUACAUGUAAGGCGAGCCCGGGGCCACCGUCUCUUCCCUGCCCUGCCCUUCACGGCUGCAGAAGGACCGGCCACAGCCUCCAUUGUUCCCCGUCGUUCUCAAAACUUUCCCGAAAGACCAGGCCAGCUGUCCACCUGCACCCGUGUGAACUUGAGUUUUUCUUUUGUGAGGAGCCUCAGCUGCGGGAGGCAGGAAGCUGGUUUUUUCCAGGAGGCGGGCAGCCUUCGCUGGCCUCCCAAGCUGCUCCAAGGUUGGAUCCUGGUUGGGGUCAGGCUGGGCACGCAGGCCGCUCGCCACAGGCUCAGAGGUUCACCAGGCUCCUCCUUCCAUCCUGCCGGGGUGCUGCUUCCUGCCGCUCUUUUUACCUGACCAGGUAAAAAGUUUAUUUCUAAAGUCGAGCUGUCGCCUGCCCCUGGCAGUGCCAUCCCCCGGCGGCGGGCCGUCGUGCAGUCGGGUCCUUGCGGGGGCUCCCGUCCGAUGACUGUCGAUCAGUGCGUCCGUGAACAUCUUUGAGCGUAAAGCUUUGCGUCUGUAUUUAGAGUGACGUCCCUCAGAGAAAGUCUGAUGAGCGCAAGCAGUAGAGAAAAGGCUCUGGGGGGGGGACCCCUGCCUGCCACAGACAGACGCCGCAUUUCCCCACCCGCGGGCACACCUGAGCCUUCUGUUUUUCUUCACCUUUGUUGAUUGGAAUGACAAAAAAAUGAUACCUCAUGGCUUAUUUCUUUGUGAAAGUAAUAAACAGGUCUUCCCACCAUCCGUAGAGCCCCCCUAUGAAGCCUUGAGUAAGCCAAGAUGAUCAAAGCAAAGAGGCACAUGGGAAAAAAUGCUAGCACAUCCAGACCCAAAAAAUUACCCUUCUUAGGCUUUUCUGAUACCUUAGGGUUCAUCUUGCUAAUGGAUGCACAAUAUAAAUCAAGAGAGGCUCACAGACACAGCUCAGGGCUCUGGGGCGGGCGGUGGGGCUGCUGGGGGCGGUUCCCAGGAAGGGACCCUGCGGGCCGCGUCAGCUGAACGCUGUUUUCU
rnacentral:lncRNA from 1 species